rnacentral:lncRNA from 1 species
CCAGGCUUUACAUUACAUUUGUCGCCAUCCUCUGCAACAGAAGGUUUUGCUGGAAGGUCACCCCAGUACUAGGAGCUCCAAGGUCUUGUUUCUAGCACCAUCCUUUAGCUUCAGGUCGAGUUUCUCUAUCUUCCUUUUUAGGUUUUCUCCCCUUCGUAGUUUUUGUUUUCUCUUUUUAGUUCUUCGUUUUCCAUGGCUAGUAGAAAAGUUUCUUCUUCUCGGGAU